UACGGAGGAUGCAAGGGUUCUCGGGAAUGGUUGGGCGUAAAGCGUCCGCCGCUGCCCCUGUAAGUCUGCUGUUAAAGAGUGAGGCUUAACCUCAUAAAAGCAGUGGAAACUACAGAGCUAGAGUGCGUUCGGGGUAGCAGGAAUUCCUGGUGUAGCGGUGAAAUGCGUAGAGAUCAGGAAGACCACCGGUGGCGAAAGCGUGCUACUAGGCCGUAACUGACACUGAGGGACGAAAGCUAGGGGAGCGAAGGGG
rnacentral:rRNA from 1 species